UGUGGAGAUGAUAAUUCCAUAGUUUCUGGCGUUGGGGGUAAGGAUCGUCUACUUGCAGUAUGUGUGACUUCUCUCUUUGGAAUAAUGUGCUAAGUAUGAAUUUCUGAGUCGAAUGUGCAAUUCACAAAGUUCUUGAUAAUUGGCGGAAUGGUUUCUCCAGUGUGUAAAUCACAUAUAUAGCAGCAGAAUCGUUUUAAAACUCGCAAACAUCCGCACAAACGGCAGCAGUAACAGAGGAUGACUAGGAAUAUUAUAGCUCCAAUUCCACAUAAGGCUAUUAUGUACCACUGAGUAAGAGUGAUAAUAAAUAGGUCUUUCAGUCGUUUGGAAAAGACGACAAACGACCGAAUUCAGAAGAGAAAGAUUACUCACAGGAGGCGGUCCUCCUGUACCUGAUUUAUGUGAUCUUAUUUUAAAAUUAGUAAAUGAAGCAGCACCACAUGCAGAUGUGGAAUUACCCUGCACCUGGGAUAGCACAGCUGCAUAUGAAAAUAAAGAUAAUAAUCAGGACAAAGAAGAGGACAUAGAUUAUGAAUUAGAAUAUUUGGAUGGUUGCUUCGAGGAAUCGUUGAUCACACCACAUGUAACAGAAUCAAAAUGAUGUCUUCGUCUUGAGGCUACUAUUGUGAACACUUCUAGUGAAAAAGUUAUGCCGUCAAUACCUUCGUUCACUCGCAAGAGGAGGUAUAGUACCAGAAAAGAUGACGAGGAGAAACAAUUACACAUACAAAAGGCAAAAGAGGCACUAGAGCAACAAAGGGAAUUGCAUCAACUUAGAAUGAGGACUGCAGAAACAGGAGCUAAAAUAGCUGAAAUUAAAUUAGAACAGGCAAUGAUGGAAUUUCAGGCAGCAACAGGAGAAAAAUGUACUUCUUAAUA